rnacentral:rRNA from 1 species
UAAGCAUGCAAGUCGAACGGGAGUGAGGCCCUUCGGGGCCUCAUGAGAGUGGCGAACGGGUGAGUAACACGUAGGUGAUCUACCCUUGGGUGGGGGAUAGCCCAUGGAAACAUGGGGUAAUACCGCAUGAGGCCUUGGGGCGUGAAGCCCCUGGAUGAACGGAGCAAUUGUUCCGCCUGGGGAUGAGCCUGCGGUCCAUUAGCUAGUUGGUGUGGUAAGGGCGCACCAAGGCGACGAUGGAUAGCCGGCCUGAGAGGGUGAACGGUCACACUGGGACUGAGACACGGCCCAGACUUCUACGGGAGGCAGCAGCUAAGAAUCUUCCGCAAUGGGGGGAACCCUGACGGAGCGACGCCGCGUGGGCGAAGAAGGCCGCAAGGUUGUAAAGCCCUUUUCUUGACGAAGAAUAAGGUCAGGAGUGGAACGCCUGGCCGAUGACGUUAGUCGAGGAAGAAGCCCCGGCCAAUUACGUGCCAGCAGCCGCGGUAACACGUAUGGGGCGAGCGUUGUUCGGAAU